CCUACGGGUGGCAGCAGUGGGGAAUAUUGCGCAAUGGGGGCAACCCUGAUGCAGCAACGCCGCGUGAUUGAAGAAGGCCUUCGGGUUGUAAACCUCUGUCAGCAGGGAAGAACGGUCACUGUGCUAAUCAGCAGUGAAUUGCCGGUACCUGCAAAGGAAGCACCGGCUAACUCCGUGCCAGCAGCCGCGGGAAUACGGAGGGUGCGAGCGUUAAUCGGAAUUACUGGGCGUAAAGCGCUCGUAGGCGGUAUGUCAAGUCAAGGGUGAAAUCCCCGCGCUCAACGUGGGAACUGCCUUGGAAACUGGCAAACUGGAGUGUGUGAGAGGAUAGUGGAAUUCCAGGUGUAGGAGUGAAAUCCGUAGAUAUCUGGAGGAACAUCAGUGGCGAAGGCGACUAUCUGGCACAUAACUGACGCUGAGGAGCGAAAGCGUGGGUAGCAAACAGGAUUAGAUACCCGAGUAGUC
rnacentral:rRNA from 1 species